rnacentral:tRNA from 1 species
CCCUCGCCAGCGGACCUGGCGUGAGGCCUCCGACGCCACACUGCGGGAGUUCGACUCUCUCCGGGGGUGC